AUCUGGUUCUGUUAUACACAGCACACCCAGUAAAGACUGGACUUUUAUUGUUUCUGAGUCCAGCAGUGGAAAAUACACAUGUCAGUGUAGAAGCAGAGAUGACUGGUAUUCUUCAACAGAGUGGAGUGAAUCAAUCAUCCUGUCAGUAUCUGGACCGUCAUCCAGCCCUUAUAAUCCUCUAUUUCCUGUGCUGCUGAUUGUGGGAUCAGUUAGUGGAAUCAUUGUAAUUAUCAUUUUGGCCUUGCUGUGGCGCUGUAGACACCCCAAUGAUCGAUGCUGCAUCAGGUUAUUCCAGUCAGGAAGCAGCAAUCAGAGCUCCAGCACCAUUUAUGAAAUGAAUCAGAUGGAAAAUCAUAUUUAAAUCUCUUUGCAACACGCGACCACUUCAGUCUAUGAGACGAUCCAAACCUGCAGAGCC